CCACUUGAAUACACUUAAUUAUGCGUUUUCGAUGCUUGCUGGGAUUGCUAAACGUGGCCUUGUCCCUGAUGUGGUCACCUACAACACUCUAAUUAAGGGCCUUUUGUCUCGAGACAGACCUGUUGAGGCUGAGCGCUUGUUUGAGAAGCUUGUGGGAUAUAAGGACAUGCGGCCCAAUGUAGUUACUAAGGGGUCGUUUGGUUCGAAGAGUGGUAUCGGGUUGGAAUGAGGAAUCGGGUUAAGCUGGUAUGGGUUUGAGGUAUCAUAUCUGAUAUCAUGUGUUUGGUUGAGUGCUGGAAUCAAUAUAUGCAAUUUUUGUAAAAAAUAAGUUAUUAAUUUAUAUUAAUUGAAAAAAUUAAUAAAAUUAUUAUUGUUAUGUAUUUUUGCAUCAUUGAUUUAAUUUUGUAUAAAACAUUAAUAUUUGAUUACUUAAAUAGAGACAAAAAAAAUCAAAAAUGAAUGGAUACCCAUACCUCCAUCUCAUACCCACCUCCCCACCUAGGUAUCAAAAACUCAUACCUUGGGGGUUUAAGGUAUGGGUUUGAGAUUAUAUUUUCACCAACCAAACACUAGGUAUGGGUUUGGAAUGGACAAACCUCAUACCUUAUUCCACAUACCCAUGAACCAAACGACCCCUUAUUCUCAACCGAUAUUCAUCCUAAUCAAACUACGAGAGAUUUUUUUUAGCAUCUUUUCUGGUCAGGAGAAUUACGGGGGUAUGGAUUGAGAUUUUAAUAGAUUGUUUUUAGUUUAUGGAUUUUAAUGGAUUGUAUGUGAUUUUGUGAUUUUGAUUUUGUGCUGAUUCUUGAUGUGUAUCGAUUGAGAUUUUAAUAAAUUGUUUUUAGUUUAUGGAUUUUAAUGGAUUGUAUGUGAUUUUGUGAUUUUGAUUUUGUGCUGAUUCUUGAUAAAAUGUCAAUACUUCAAAAUCCCAUUGAUUUGGUGAGAUUUUAAAAAACUUAAAAUAGACCGGAAAAUGCCACAAAAUCGUUCAUUUUAUGAAAUAAAAAAAAAAUCCAUCAACACUUAAAUACCAUGAGAUUUUAAUGAAUUUUAAACUAGAUUGAAUACCAUCAGAUUUUAAAAUAUAAUUUAAAAUCUCAAUUAAAUAUCUAAUACUUUCAUUCACUUCGACAGCUCCGAUCAUUUUAUUAUUCCUAAUGUAUAUGGUUAAAUCAGAAUAUUCAGAUCCGAAUAAAUUAUUCUCGAUUGGAUUUAUUUAGACACAUAUCUCAUAUAUGAGAAGUCCUCAUUUCUUUCGAAUCAAUUUAAGGGGGGUGUUUGGUUGAUGGUUAAUGAGCCCGAUUAACGGGAAUCGGAACCUAAUACCCAUACAUUUUGUUUGGAUUAGUAAAAUUUUUGCUUGGAAUGAGACCUCAUUCCCUCUUCAAGGUAAAUCAAUACCUCAUACCCCUUGGUUUACCAUUUCCCAUACACCAUUCCCAUUCCCACCGAUCAUCCAAACACCCCCUAAAUCUGAGGCGGCAAGGAUUUAAAGCUGAGGCGGCAAAGAAAGAGAACGGGGAACGGGAGAUGAGACUUGAGCAUUGUAGCUGCUCUAAGCAAUGUCUUCCAGGUUGAUGCUAUAAGGUCGAGCUAAAAUUCCUGCUUUUACCUUCUCCAAAAUAAUGGCUUCUCCUCGGUUUCAAAUCGUAAGCACUUGUUCUCCUUUACUCUGUCAUUUUCAUUCUCAUUUUCCUAUGUUCUCUACUAAUCAUUCUUCAGCUGUAACCACAUUUCCCCCGUUUAACAAUACUUGCACUCCCUUCUCCACUAAACCUAACCCUAAUUCAAAACUCAAACCUCCCUUUAUUCCUUCUCUAUGCACCACUCAUCCCCACUUAAAACAAUUACUCUAUCACAAAUCCAAGACAGGUUUCGAUAAACUCGAUGAUGCUCUUCAAGUGUUCGAUGAAAUGCUUCAUUUAAAACCGUUGCUUCCGGUUCUGCAGUUCAACCAACUGCUGGCCGCGCUUGUUCGAAUGAAGCACUACUCUGUUGCUGUCUCUGUGUUUAGGGAAAUGCGUGUUUUAAGCAUUCCGGUUGAUAUGUUUACCUUUAAUACUGUGAUCAAAUGUUGUUGCCACUUGAAUACACUUAAUUAUGCGUUUUCGAUGCUUGCUGGGAUUGCUAAACGUGGCCUUGUCCCUGAUGUGGUCACCUACAACACUCUAAUUAAGGGCCUUUUGUCUCGAGACAGACCUGUUGAGGCUGAGCGCUUGUUUGAGAAGCUUGUGGGAUAUAAGGACAUGCGGCCCAAUGUAGUUACAUAUACCACUAUUAUUAAGGGCCUGCUGUCUCAGGACCGGGUUUUGGAGGC
rnacentral:lncRNA from 1 species